rnacentral:lncRNA from 1 species
GAAAAAUAAAGCCCAGGACUGGAGUCUGGAGGGACCCUGGGUUUGAACUCAGCUCUCUGCCACUCCCCAUGAGCCUGACCAGGGCGCAGGGCGGGGGUCAGUCUCUGCCAGCCCUGCUUCCCACCCACAGAACGGGCGUCAGGGGGCCUCCCCGGCCGCGCGCGCGUCGGCGAGAAGCUCGGAUACGGCGGCUGUGUGCGCAAGCGCUGUACAAGGCGGUUCCUUGGGGGCUGGACCCAAACGCGAACCCCGGCUUCCAGGGCCCCUAACUUCUAGCGCCGCCCUCCUCUCCCCACUUCACAGAGAGAAGCUCUGCCCCCCUCGCGUUUUGCAGACUGGAAUUCCAGCUCCUUCAGGCAGAUUCUCCGGAACACUCCUGGCCAACGAGAGGUCAAGGUGGAAGGGCAGGAGAAGUCAACUCGCAGGUGGCCCAUCCCCAGAUGCCUCAGGCCCCCACGGUGGCCCACCAGUGCUCAGAGCUGACCAGGCCUGCCCAAGGCUGACCUGCCACAGGCCCCACGGUCGCCCCUCUGCCGGGCGGGUCAGGCCUUGAGCUGCUCUCCUCGUGGUUUCCGGUCCGCAGUAUUGGUUGGGGUCUCUAGGCCCCGCAGACAACCCUCCAGCUCCUCUUUCCACAUCUACACCUUUCCCAUGUCUCUGUUCUCUCUGUGCUCUGUCACCCCUGCAGAAAGAGACUUGAAAUACUAAUCUGAGUCAUGGUCAAAUAAAGUAAGUGUAUUUAUUACAUGUUAUCUCAUAUUUCUUUUCUUAAUCUACAAGUCUCA